GGCGGGUCACCAGACACAUUUUUAAAACUAGAUACCCCAAUGAUGAUUAUGGCCAAGUUUGGUUAAAUUUGACCCAGUAGUUUCAGAGGAGAAGAUUUUUCUAAAAGAUUACUAAGAUUUACGAAAAAUGGUUAAAAAUUGACUAUAAAGGGCAAUAACUCCUAAAAUGAUCAACUGACCAUUUUGGUCAUUUGACUUAUUUGUA
rnacentral:lncRNA from 1 species